GAUGAACGCUGGCGGCGUGCUUAACACAUGCAAGUCGAACGGAAAGGCCUCAGCUUGCUGGGGUACUCGAGUGGCGAACGGGUGAGUAACACGUGGGUGAUCUGCCCUGCACUUUGGGAUAAGCUUGGGAAACUGGGUCUAAUACCGAAUAUGACCACUUCUUGGAUGUUGUGGUGGAAAGCUUUUGCGGUGUGGGAUGAGCCUGCGGCCAAUCAGCCUGUUGGUGGGGUAAUGGCCUACCAAGGCGGCGACGGGUAUCCGGCCUGAGAGGGUGUACGGACACAUUGGGACUGAGAUACGGCCCAGACUCCUACGGGAGGCAGCAGUGGGGAAUAUUGCACAAUGGGCGCAAGCCUGAUGCAGCGACGCCGCGUGGGGGAUGAAGGCCUUCGGGUUGUAAAGCCCUUUCGGCGGGGAAGAUAAUGACGGUACCCGCAGAAGAAGCCCCGGCUAACUUCGUGCCAGCAGCCGCAGUAA
rnacentral:rRNA from 1 species